rnacentral:rRNA from 1 species
AGAGUUUGAUCCUGGCUCAGGACGAACGCUGGCGGCGUGCUUAACACAUGCAAGUCGAGCGGUAAGGCCCUUCGGGGUACACGAGCGGCGAACGGGUGAGUAACACGUGAGCAACCUGCCCCUGACUCUGGGAUAAGCGGUGGAAACGCCGUCUAAUACCGGAUACGACCCACCACCUCAUGGUGGAGGGUGGAAAGUUUUAUCGGUCAGGGAUGGGCUCGCGGCCUAUCAGCUUGUUGGUGGGGUAACGGCCUACCAAGGCGAUUACGGGUAGCCGGCCUGAGAGGGCGACCGGCCACACUGGGACUGAGACACGGCCCAGACUCCUGCGGGAGGCAGCAGUGGGGAAUAUUGCACAAUGGGCGAAAGCCUGAUGCAGCGACGCCGCGUGGGGGAUGACGGCCUUCGGGUUGUAAACCUCUUUUACCACCAACGCAGGCUCCACGUUCUCGUGGGGUUGACGGUAGGUGGGGAAUAAGGACCGGCUAACUACGUG